GAUGAACGCUAGCGGCAGGCUUAACACAUGCAAGUCGAGGGGUAUAGUAGCAAUACUAGAGACCGGCGCACGGGUGCGUAACGCGUAUGCAACCUACCUUGAACAGGGGGAUAGCCCAGAGAAAUUUGGAUUAAUACCCCAUGGUAUAUUGAUGUGGCAUCACAUUAUUAUUAAAGUUCCAACGGUUCAAGAUGGGCAUGCGUCCCAUUAGCUAGAUGGUAAGGUAACGGCUUACCAUGGCGACGAUGGGUAGGGGUCCUGAGAGGGAGAUCCCCCACACUGGUACUGAGACACGGACCAGACUCCUACGGGAGGCAGCAGUGAGGAAUAUUGGUCAAUGGGCGCAAGCCUGAACCAGCCAUGCCGCGUGCAGGAUGAAGCAUCUAUGGUGUGUAAACUGCUUUUGUACGGGAAGAAACCCUUGCUUGAGAGCAAGAUUGACGGUACCGUAAGAAUAAGGAUCGGCUAACUCCGUG
rnacentral:rRNA from 1 species